CUCCUUUGCUGCUCUCAGUACAAUAACUUUUCCAACUUUGGUUUCAAAAUUCACUCAUUCUUUCUCACUGCACAUCGCCUGUAGAAUUACCAAUUUAUGCUAUGGCUUCUGUCCAUUAUUAUGACCCAUCCUCAAAACAAUUGAGUAAGAGUAAACCUAAGGAGCGCCAUGACGGAAACCUGAGGAAAUCUUAAUCUAUUUCAGCAUUCUAGCUUUUGUAUGUUUCAAAGUACACCUGCGAAUCUUUCUUAGUUUUACUGCUUUCUCCUUUGUAAACUGCUUUGAGGGUUCUUUUUUUUGGAAAUCAAGUGGUACCUCGGGUUACAUACACUUCAGGUUACAUGCGCUUCAGGUUACAGACUCCGCUAACCCAGAAAUAGUGCUUCAGGUUAAGAACUUUGCUUCAGGAUGAGAACAGAAAUUGUGCUCUGGCAGCACGGCAGCAGCAGGAGGCCCCAUUACCUAAGUGGUGCUUCAGGUUAAGAACAGUUUCAGGUUAAGUACGGACCUCCGGAACGAAUUAAGUACUUAACCUGAGGUACCAC